rnacentral:rRNA from 1 species
UCCGGGGGGAGCAAGCGUUGUUCGGAUUUACUGGGCGUAAAGGGCGCGUAGGCGGCGUGACAAGUCACUUGUGAAAUCUCCGGGCUUAACCCGGAGCGGCCAAGUGAUACUGUCGUGCUAGAGUGCGGAAGGGGCUACUGGAAUUCUCGGUGUAGCGGUGAAAUGCGUAGAUAUCGAGAGGAACACCUGCGGCGAAGGCGGGUCUCUGGGCCGAUACUGACGCUGAGGAGCGAAAGCGUGGGGAGCGAACAGG